ACGGAGGAUGCGAGCGUUAUCCGGAUUCAUUGGGUUUAAAGGGUGCGUAGGCUGACUAUUAAGUCAGCUGUGAAAUACUGCAGCUUACCUGCAGAACUGCCAUUGAAACUGGUAGCCUUGAGAGUGCAUAAGGCAUGCGGAAUGUGUGGUGUAGCGGUGAAAUGCAUAGAUAUCACGAAGAACCCCGAUUGCGAAAGCAGCAUGCUGGGGCAUAUCUGACGCUGAGUCACGAAAGUGCGGGUAUCAAACAG
rnacentral:rRNA from 1 species